UGACGCCGCGUUCCGGCCUCCGCCAACCCCAGCUCCGGCCCGCGACCUGGUCACGCUGAGCUGCACACCAACAUGUUUCCCCUUCAGCUCCUUGCCGAGGGCCGGCCGAGGCUUCCGGCUUCCCUCUGGCGCUGCUUUCUAGCUUCCAGAUCCGCAAUUGCAUCUCUUCGCUUCGGGGCUUGCCCUGCUGGGCCGCGACCUGAGCCGUCUUUCCCCGCCAGGACCAGCCCACUGGUAGGGGGCCGAGCGGGCACUAAGGCAGAGGGGACCGCCGCUCCCGCCCAGAAGUAGCUGGGAAGAACCAGGGAGGAGCGGACGUCUCAGGCUCUAGAGGCCAUUCCUCUAACUAAUGCCAUUCGGAUUGUGACCCAAGGACAGGAGGAUACUUUUGUCUUGAACUGGGAGAUGAAUCCCUUCUGGGUUGACCAGCAAAGCCUCCAAAAACUCUGAGCCCUUCUUGUAAAGUUUGUAGAGUGUGAUUACAAACAACAACAGACUCUAAAAUAAAACAACAGAAGUUGAACGUUACUUAUUUAUUCACGUGAAAUGCCAGUUUACUAUAGAUGCAGAAUAAGACAAAAACUGAGUGGUAACAAUAAUCCCUCAUUUCCAAGCCUUGUUUAUCAAAACAUCUUUGCCCCUAUUUCAUCUUUUGAUUUUCACUACAAAAUAGAGUAGUAGGCAGGUCAGGGAUUAUUAUUUGCAUUUACUUAAUAAAGAUUAUAAUAAUAGAUACCCUUUGCCGAAAGUUUGCCACAUGCAGGGCUCUUUGCUAGGAGUUUCCUUGCCUGUGCGUGACCUAAUUAUGUAAAAAACAAAAA